rnacentral:lncRNA from 1 species
AUCGUACUGAGCUUCACAAAGGGGAAAAUGAUCCACGUGAUAAAAAUAUGAGACAUCACAGACUGACUCAUGGCUUAUAGUCAAAUCCCAUGGAAUUAUUCCUGCAAAACAGAACGUGGAGCACCUGAGCUGGAUUCUGUGUUCCCAACAGCUCCUGGUGGAUUUUCCUUGGCUCCAGCAGAUCCAUUCCCUUUCUCCUGGAGUGUGCUCAGUGUCCUUGUGGCUGAUGCUGCAGCUGGCAGCUCCUGGAGAGCAGCAGUGCCAGGGCAGGGAGCUGCUGCACUUCUCAAACAGACCCAGAUGUUCUUGGACACCCAAACUCAGACUCCCAAGCCAGUGAAGAAGAGAAAGACGCUCAGCACCACGGAACCCUGCUCUGAACCCGAGGCACCAACAUCCCAGCCCAGGCUCCCCGCAGCAAGAUGCCCCACUCUGAACCUUGGCCAGGCAAAGAAGAUUUCUGGGAACGGGACCUCAGGCUUCCUAAUCCUCUGCUAUCUCACGGUGAUGACUGUCACAGCAUUCACACGAACUUGUGUCUUCAAAACCUCUCCCCUGUGAUCAGAACUGACCAAGGUGCUCAGCAGCUGCUAGAAAGGAAGAUGGAGGAUGGACUGAGGGAAAACAUAAACUUUAUUUUGCUAUACAGGAGGGAAAACAUCCUUCUAUUACCAUCGUUAUAAUGGAAUAACAGGUGUUUAAAGAGGAGUCUCCUGGGUUUGGAUUGGGAUAGAGUGUAGUCUGGAGGAGUCACUGCCCUUGCCAACAUUCAAUUUAACACCCUUAGGAACUGCUUCUGAAUUUGAAUGUCUGGGUCUCUGCACUCAACCUUGAUUAACUGGCCCAACAACAAAUGUUAAUCACCCUGAUUUACAUUGCCUGCAGAGCUAUGGUCAACUUGAUAUCAGCAACCUGCAGCUCCCUUAACAUGUUCCAACAGGGAACUUCCAGAGUCUUGCAGGCAGUGGAGGUGAGCCCUGGGAGCCUGCACUGCGAGGUUUGUCUGGCAGGGAGCUGCAGGCAGGAGCAGGGCAGGAAUACCUCAGCCAACUGAACUGCUGUGCCUCAAAGAGCUUUUGUGGCUCUCCAGGCUCUCAAGAUGUAGGUAACACAAUGUUUUUAGUUACAUUUGGAUUCUGAAUACAUAAAAAAAGGCUUAAGCUUUAAACUUGUGUGUUCUUCCCAGCAACAAACUGAGCUUGUUGGAGGAGCCAGCGCAGGAUUUGAGACAAUGUCCUUUACAUGGGAGCCACUAAGUGUGCACAGACACACACAAGACACAUUCAGCAAACACCCCAUCGGAUUUUUCCACAGAUGAGACCAUUUUGCAGCGACAUUCUGGAGGACAGGAAGCCCCAGGGCUGGGCAGAGCCAGCUGCUGGCCACAGCUCCUGGUGGCAGGAGUUCCACAGCUCCUGGUGGCAGGAGUUCCACAGCUCCUGGUGGCAGGAGUUCCACGUGCUGCUGAGGCAGGGCGUUAAAAAAUCUCCUGUUAUCACCGCGAGCUGCGCCAGCUGCUCCUGGAAAUUCGCCUAUCAGCCACCAUGCUGCAGCUCUGUUGGUGGCAGAAGAUUGUUCCUCUGGACUUUUCUUAAAAAAAUAAAUAAAAUGUCAAGCCUGAAAAGGAAGCCUGC